GAUGAACGCUGGCGGCGUGCCUAAUACAUGCAAGUAGAACGCUGAAGGAAGGGGCUUGCUCUUUCCGGAUGAGUUGCGAACGGGUGAGUAACGCGUAGGUAACCUGCCUGGUAGCGGGGGAUAACUAUUGGAAACGAUAGCUAAUACCGCAUAACAGUAGAUGUUGCAUGAUAUCUACUUAAAAGGUGCAAUUGCACCACUACCAGAUGGACCUGCGUUGUAUUAGCUAGUUGGUGAGGUAACGGCUCACCAAGGCGACGAUACAUAGCCGACCUGAGAGGGUGAUCGGCCACACUGGGACUGAGACACGGCCCAGACUCCUACGGGAGGCAGCAGUAGGGAAUCUUCGGCAAUGGACGGAAGUCUGACCGAGCAACGCCGCGUGAGUGAAGAAGGUUGUCGGAUCGUAAAGCUCGGUUGUAAGAGAAGAACGAGUGUGAGAGUGGAAAGUUCACAAUGUGACGGUAUCUUACCAGAAAGGGACGGCUAACUACGUG
rnacentral:rRNA from 1 species